GCCACUUGGCUCAACUGGGAGAGCUUUAGACUGAAGAUCUAAAGGUCCCUGGUUCGAUCCCGGGCUUCGGCA